rnacentral:rRNA from 1 species
AUGGAGCGCGGCCGCACAACUUCGAUGUCGGGGCAGGUGGGUUCAGGCGUUGAACGGCUCCACGGGAGCAGCAGUAUGCAGCACAUCCAGUCGGGCUCGGGCAGCGCCCUGGCGCCGGACGCACGCGCUGGCCUCCGGCAAGCUGGACAUGGUGAUGGAAGUGCACCCUAUCUUAAUAGGGUGAGCAUUGAUGAUUCCAGAAGGAGGGAAAAUGUCAACCCCGACAAUGAAGAUGACAUUCUGAUGGGGAAUGAUUCAGCUCCAAGAGAGACAAUUUGGAAAGUAGGAAAGCCUCUCAUCUUGGAAGGAAGGACAAUGGCAGGAAAAGGAAGAGGGUAG